rnacentral:rRNA from 1 species
UACGGAGGGGGCUAGCGUUGUUCGGAAUUACUGGGCGUAAAGCGCACGUAGGCGGCUUUGUAAGUUAGAGGUGAAAGCCCAGGGCUUAACCCUGGAAUUGCCUUUAAGACUGCAUCGCUAGAAUCGUGGAGAGGUGAGUGGAAUUCCGAGUGUAGAGGUGAAAUUCGUAGAUAUUCGGAAGAACACCAGUGGCGAAGGCGACUCACUGGACACGUAUUGACGCUGAGGUGCGAAAGCGUGGGGAGCAAGCAGG